AACGAACGCUGGCGGAAUGCUUUACACAUGCAAGUCGAGCGGCAGCGCGGGGCAACCUGGCGGCGAGCGGCGAACGGGUGAGUAAUGCAUCGGAACAUGUCCAUGUCGUGGGGGAUAGCCCGGCGAAAGCCGGAUUAAUACCGCAUACGCCCGAGAGGGGAAAGUGGGGGACCGCAAGGCCUCACGCGAUUGGGUUGGCCGAUGUCCGAUUAGCUAGUUGGCGGGGUAAGAGCCCACCAAGGCGAUGAUCGGUAGCUGGUCUGAGAGGCUGAUCAGCCACACUGGGAGUGAGACACGGCCCAGACUCCUACGGGAGGCAGCAGUGGGGAAUUUUGGACAAUGGGGGCAACCCUGAUCCAGCCAUUCCGCGUGAGUGAAGAAGGCCUUCGGGUUGUUAAGCUCUUUUGUCCGGAACGAAACGGCUAGCGUGUAUAUCGCUGGCUACUGACGGUACCGGAAGAAUAAGCACCGGCUAACUACGUGCCAGCCGCCGCAGUAAAAC
rnacentral:rRNA from 1 species